AAGUCGUAACAAGGUUUCCGUAGGUGAACCUGCGGAAGGAUCAUUCAAGGACAUGUGGGGGGGUGGGUGUGAAGGAGUAAUCUUUUGUAUCCAUCCUCACACUAUAAUCACUUGUGAUGGAUAAGGGAAAGAUGUGGGUGGGUGGAUAGUAUCCGGCCAGCCACAGCUUCCUGACCUAAGCUUGUUCUUGGUUCUACCAAUAUAUAUAUAACUUGGUUCUAAUACGUCUCUGUAAUUGUUGUAACAAAUUUAAUACAACUGUUGGCAACGGAUCACUCGGCUCUCGU
rnacentral:misc_RNA from 1 species